GAUGAACGCUGGCGGCGUGCUUAACACAUGCAAGUCGAACGGAAAGGCUCCUGCUUGCAGGGGUACUCGAGUGGCGAACGGGUGAGUAACACGUGGGUGAUCUGCCCAGCACUUCGGGAUAAGCCUGGGCAACUGGGUCUAAUACCGGAUAGGACGAUGGUUUGGAUGCCAUUGUGGAAAGUUUUUUCGGUGUGGGAUGAGCUCGCGGCCUAUCCGCUUGUUGGUGGGGUAAUGGCCUACCAAGGCGUCGACGGGUAGCCGGCCUGAGAGGGUGUACGGCCACAUUGGGACUGAGAUACGGCCCAGACUCCUACGGGAGGCAGCAGUGGGGAAUAUUGCACAAUGGGCGCAAGCCUGAUGCAGCGACGCCGCGUGGGGGAUGACGGCCUUCGGGUUGUAAACUCCUUUCGCUAGGGACGAAGCGAAAGUGACGGUACCUGGAGAAGAAGCACUGGCUAACUACGUG
rnacentral:rRNA from 1 species